rnacentral:rRNA from 1 species
GUUUGAUCAUGGCUCAGAUUGAACGCUGGCGGGAUGCUUUACACAUGCAAGUCGCGAACGGCAGCACGGACUUCGGUCUCGGUGGCGAGUGGCGAAUGGGUGAGUAAUGUAUCGGAACGUGCCUAGUAGCGGGGAUAACUACGCGAAAGCGUAGCUAAUACCGCAUACGCCCUUCGGGAAAAAGCGGGGACCUUCGGGCCCUGCACUAUUAGAGCGGCCGAUAUCGGAUUAGCUAGUUGGUGGGGUAACGGCUCACCAAGGCGACGAUCCGUAGCUGGUUUGAGAGGACGACCAGCCACACUGGGACUGGAGACACGGCCCAGACUCCUACGGGAGGCAGCAGUGUGGGAAUUCUGACAAUGGGAAACCCUGAUCCAGCCAUCCCGCGUGUGCGAUGAAGGCCUUUCGGGUUGUAAAGCACUUCGAAAGAAACGGCACUGGAUAAUACCUCGUGCAACUGACGGUACCCGCAUUGCUACACCGGCUAACUACGUGCCAGCAGCCGCGGUAAUACGUAGGUGUUAAUCGGAAUUACUGGCGUAAAGCGUGCGCAGGCGGUUCGGAAAGAAAGAUGUGGAAUCCCAGAGCUUAACUUUGGAACUGCAUUUUUAACUACCGAGCUAGAGUGUGUCAGAGGGAGGUGGAAUUCCGCGUGUAGCAGUGAAAUGCGUAGAUAUGCGGAGGAACACCGAUGGCGAAGCAUUUUGAUAAUACUGACGCUCAUACGAAAGCGUGGGGAGCAAACAGGAUUAGAUACCCUGGUAGUCCACGCCCUAAACGAUGUCAACUAGCUGUUGGGGCCUUCGGGCCUUGGUAGCGCAGCUAACGCGUGAAGUUGACCGCCUGGGGAGUACGGUCGUAAGGAUUAAAAACUCAAAGGAAUUGACGGGACCCGCACAAGCGGUGUGGAUGAUGUGGAUUAAUCUGAUGCAACGCGAAAACCUUACCUACCCUUGACAUGUCUGGAAUCCCGAAGAGAUUUGGGAGUGCUCGCAAGAGAACCGGAACACAGGUGUUGCAUGGUUGUCGUCAGCUCGUGUCGUGAGAUGUUGGGUUAAGUCCUGCACCAGCGCAACCCUUGUCAUUAUUGCUACGAAAGGGCACCUGACGAGACUGCCGGUGACAAACCGGAGGAAGGUGGGGAUGACGUCAAGUCCUCAUGGCCUUUAUGGGCAGGGCUUCAGACGCUGCUACAAUGGUCGGGACGAGGGUCGCCAACCCGCGAGGGGGAGCCAAUCCCAGAAACCCUGAUCAGUCCGGAUCGUGCCUGCAACCUGACCUGCGUGAAGUCGAACUGCUAGUAAUCGCGGAUCAGCAUGUCGCGGUGAAUACGUUCCCGGGUCUUGUACAGCACCGCCCGUCACACCAUGGAGUGGGUUUACCAGUAGCGUAGCGUUAGCCUAACCUGUGCGAGGGCGAUUACCACGGUAGGAUUCAUGACUGGGGUGAAGUCGUAACAAGGUAGUCGC